rnacentral:rRNA from 1 species
AAAAUGACUCUCGGCAACGGAUAUCUCGGCUCUCGCAUCGAUGAAGAACGUAGCGAAAUGCGAUACUUGGUGUGAAUUGCAGAAUCCCGUGAACCAUCGAGUCUUUGAACGCAAGUUGCGCCCAAAGCCUUUUGGUUGGGGGCACGUCUGCCUGGGU